rfam:Camelus ferus unplaced genomic scaffold scaffold260, whole genome shotgun sequence.
GAGGGUAUAGCUCAGUGGUAGAAUUCAUGAUUAGCAUGCAUAAGGGCCUGGGUUCAAUCCCCAGUACCUCCA